UGUUAUCGUGUGGCAAGCGUCCACGAUGCCCAAGCCAGAUCUGCCCUCCACCGUGACCCACAACCACCACCACCACGAUGCCAAACGAGGUCCAUGGCCCACCCACUGGAGUCUCGACUUUUGGAUGGCAGGCUUCUUUCGCACCUGCGUCCACCUGCUUGAGCUUGCAGGACAUCCAUCGUCCAGUGCUCCGGACGGCACAGAUAUCCAGACAUCCACCACCACCACCAGCAGAUUCGUGAACAGCAGCUGACCGAAUUAAACGACGCAUGGCAUCGCAUGAGCACGGACGCCUCAGAUGACCUUUUCAAUAUGGGUUGGGCAAAGGUGCGCCAAGACUCAGGAUGCAUCUGGCACUGACCAAUGGGCACAGUGUCAUCUUGUUGCCAAGCCAGGGAGAUUCUUCUGGAACUGGCGUGCGCCAAAGAUCGGGCGGCGGCGGCGGCGGUGGCGGCUCUGUACAUGUUGCCUGUAAUCCAGCACUGUUGGAGGCGAGGGUCGGUAGAUCACACGCGAUUAUUUCGAAAUUUCCUUCCCGUGAUUGUGUGGACUCCUCCACCUGUUCCAUCUGUGGGGGAGAGUGUUGCCCCUCGCCCCCACCCUCAUACACUUUGGUUUUCUCCGUGUGAUCCAGUUUCCUCCCAAACGUAAACACUCAUUAAUUGCAUUAUGACUGCAGGUAUUGUGGUCAAUGCAAAUAUGACUCCUUGUAAAAAAAGGUGUCAGUUUUGUUGCCAGAUAGAAGGGUAAAAAAAAAAUUAUCAUAUUUUUUUACUGGAAAAUGAGGUUCCAAUGGUGUAAAUGCUUGCCCCGAGCUCUCAUACUCUGAUGGUACAUUGUCUUUGAGUUGUGCGCCUUUUGGCGUCAUCUGGUCCAACCCAUGUGAGACUAGACUCUAAGGAAAGCUGUCUCGGGCGUGGACCAAUCAACUUCAAGGACAGUGCAUACAUUAUCAGAGUUAUGUUUUUUUGUUUGCAUUAUGACUGCAGGUAUUGUGGUCUAUGCAAACAUGACUCCUUGUAAAAAAAGGUGUCAGUUUUGUUGCCAGAUAGAAGGGUAAAAAAACAAUUAUCAACUCAUUAAUUGGUCAAAAAAAUUGCUUAAUAUAUAGAGGACUGCAGAGCUCGGGGGAUAAUUUGGCGCCGGCUGCUGCCUUCCCACUUGUCUGGGGUUUCUCACCCAUCUGAGUCGUUCUCUGUCUCUGGAAUGCUUUAAACGAUCGUGAGAGGGAACUGAAGAACUCAAGAAGCUCCCAGCGUAUGGAGGAAAAACAUCAGAUGUGCCGAACAACAACAACAUCCUGCACAACCUUAAAACACAUUGGAGCACCGUGAUAUAAACGUAAUGGGAUGGAAGCGUUGCGCAGUGGAACGACAGUGCCUGUUGACAUUCCACCUCUCAGCAUCCUGAAGAGAUGGUGGCAGCUUUGGGGGUCGCCUUUAUCGAGCAGUGGACUCACCAAGGCGAAUGAUAAUGGCGGUUAAUGACAAUGAAAAGCACGUGGCACGAGCCAAGGCCACCUCCAUCAUGGCCACACUUGUGCUCACGUUGUGCAAUAAACAACAAUCACGCGG